rnacentral:rRNA from 1 species
AUUGAACGCUGGCGGCAUGCUUUACACAUGCAAGUCGAACGGCAGCACGGGGUGGUAACACCCUGGUGGCGAGUGGCGAACGGGUGAGUAAUAUAUCGGAACAUGUCCGGAAGUGGGGGAUAGCUCGGCGAAAGCCGGAUUAAUACCGCAUAUGCCCUGAGGGGAAAGGAGGGAUCCGCAAGGACCUUUCGCUUUCGGAGUGGCCGAUAUCGGAUUAGCUAGUUGGUGAGGUAAAGGCUUACCAAGGCGACGAUCCGUAGCUGGUCUGAGAGGACGACCAGCCACACUGGAACUGAGACACGGUCCAGACUCCUACGGGAGGCAG